CUACGGGGUGCAGCAGGCGCGAAAACUUUACAAUGCUGGCAACAGCGAUAAGGGAACCUCGAGUGCCAGGUUACAAAUCUGGCUGUCGAGAUGCCUAAAAAGCAUUUCAUAGCAAGGGCCGGGCAAGACCGGUGCCAGCCGCCGCGGUAACACCGGCGGCUCGAGUGGUAACCGUUAUUAUUGGGUAUAAAGGGUCUGUAGCCGGCCGGAUAAGUCUCUUGAGAAAUCUGGCAGCUUAACUGUCAGGCUUUCAGGAGAUACUGUCUGGCUCGAGGCCGGGAGAGGUGAGAGGUACUUCAGGGGUAGGGGUGAAAUCUUGUAAUCCUUGAAGGACCACCAGUGGCGAAGGCGUCUCACCAGAACGGACCUGACGGCAAGGGACGAAAGCUAGGGGCACGAACCGGAUUAGAUACCCGGGUAGUCCUAGCCGUAAACGAUACUCGCUAGGUGUCGGCCACGGUGCGACCGUUGUCGGUGCCGUAGGGAAGCCGUGAAGCGAGC
rnacentral:rRNA from 1 species